GCCAAACAUCCUGAUUAAAUAUUGAGAGCACUGCUAGAGACCCUGCCUACCGAUAAAGUCUUUGUGCGCCGUACUACAAUGUUAAGGUAAGAUGUGUUGUUACUACAACACUGCAGACCCAUUUUCCUCUUUCUUUAAUUGUAGAAACCAUUUUAAACAAGUAAUGAUUAACAACAGACAGAGACAUCGCUCCAGGCGUAGGAACAAAAGGACGUGUUUGCUUUUCUACAAUCACUCCUCGUUAGUAUAGUGGUAAGUAUCCCCGCCUGUCACGCGGGAGACCGGGGUUCGAUUCCCCGACGGGGAGUAUACACUUUUUCUCCUUAAAUAUUUACAGCAAAACUGGCUUAAUUACUUAUUUAAGAGUGCUGAAGAGUCAAUAAAAA